CCCUUAGAUGUCCGGGGCCGCACGCGCGCUACAAUGGAUGAAUCAACGCGUCAUCCUGGCCCGAAAGGGUUGGGGAACCGCUGAACCUCAUCCGUGGUUGGGAUUGGGGUUUGUAAUUAUUCCCCAUGAACUAGGAAUUCCCAGUAAGCGCGAGUCAUAAGCUCGCGUUGAUUACGUCCCUGCCCUUUGUACACACCGCCCGUCGCUACUACCGAUUGGAUGGUUUAGUGAGAUCCUCGGAUUGGUCACGGCACGGUGGCAACACUGCGUCUGUGUGCCGAGAAGACGAUCAAACUUGAUCAUCUAGAGGAAGUAAAAGUCGUAACA
rnacentral:rRNA from 1 species